CACGUAGUUAGCCGGGGCUUCUUACUCAGGUACCGUCAUUUAUUCUUCCCUGCUGAUAGAGCUUUACAUAACGAAUUACUUCUUCACUCACGCGGCGUCGCUGCAUCACGGGUUCCCCCCAUUGUGCAAUAUCCCCCACUGCUGCCUCCCGUAGGAGUCUGGGCCGUGUCUCAGUCCCAAUGUGGCCGUCCGCCCUCUCAGGCCGGCUACUGAUCGUCGCUUUGGUAGGCCGUUACCCUGCCAACUGGCUAAUCAGACGCGGGCCCAUCGUAUACCGUCUCGGCUUUUCACACUCCAGUAUGCACUGCUGUGCGCUUAUGCGGUAUUAGCACCUAUUUCUAAGUGUUAUCCCCCUGUAUACGGUAGGUUGCCCACGCGUUACUCACCCGUCCGCCACUAAGAUACAUUUUCCUUUCAGACGAAUCCUCAUUCCAAUAUACUCCCCGUUCGACUUGCAUGUGUUAGCACGCCGCCAGCGUUCAUCCUGA
rnacentral:rRNA from 1 species